rnacentral:rRNA from 1 species
UACGUAGGGCGCAAGCGUUGUCCGGAAUUAUUGGGCGUAAAGAGCUCGUAGGCGGCUUGUCACGUCGGGUGUGAAAGACCGGGGCUUAACCCCGGUUCUGCAUUCGAUACGGGCUGGCUAGAGUGUGGUAGGGGAGAUCGGAAUUCCUGGUGUAGCGGUGAAAUGCGUAGAUAUCAGGAGGAACACCGAUGGCGAAGGCAGGUCUCUGGGCUGAUACUGACGCUCAUGCACGAAAGCGUGGGGAGCAAACAGG